GGAGGCGGACUAUACAGCCAUGGCCAAGAUUAAGGCUCAAGACCUUCGCAGCAAGAAGAAGGAAGAGCUGCUGAAACAGCUGGAGGACCUGAAGGUGGAACUGUCCCAGCUGCGCGUGGCUAAAGUGACAGGCGGCGCGGCUUCCAAACUCUCCAAGAUCGAGUGGUUCGUAAAUCCAUUGCCCGUGUACUGACCAUCAUUAACCAGACUCAGAAGGAGAACCUCAGGAAAUUCUAUAAGGGCAAGAAGUACAAGCCCCUGGAUCUGCGGCCCAAGAAAACACGUGCCAUGCGCCGCCGGCUCAACAAGCAUGAAGAGAACCUGAAGACCAAGAAGCAGCUGCGGAAGGAGCGGCUGUACCCCCUCCGGAAGUACGCAGUCAAGGCCUGAGCUUCCAGCUGGCAAUAAAACAGACAGACCAAAAAAAAAAAAAAAAAA